rnacentral:rRNA from 1 species
AACGAACGCUGGCGGCAUGCUUAACACAUGCAAGUCGAACGCGUGGUCUCGGUUCGCCGGGGCCAUGAGUGGCGCACGGGUGAGUAGCGCGUGGGAACCUGCCCUGAAGUGGGGGAUAACCGAGGGAAACUUCGGCUAAUACCGCAUACGCCGGCUGUCUUGCGAAAGAUGGUCGGGAAAGAUUUAUCGCUUCAGGAGGGGCCCGCGUCGGAUUAGCUUGUUGGUGGGGUAACGGCCUACCAAGGCAGUGAUCCGUAGCUGGUCUGAGAGGAUGAUCAGCCACACUGGGACUGAGACACGGCCCAGACCCCUACGGGAGGCAGCAGUGGGGAAUAUUGGACAAUGGGCGCAAGCCUGAUCCAGCAAUGCCGCGUGAGUGAGGAAGGCCUUAGGGUUGUAAAGCUCUUUCACCACGACGAUGAUGACGGUAGUGGGAGAAGAAGCCCGGCUAACUUCGUGCCAGCCGCCGCCGUAAC